AUGGCGGGUGAAAAGGUGCCUGAUACAAAGGAGAAGGAAACUGCCGCCAAGAAGGCUGGAGGUGAUGCUGCUGCCUCCCGUCCUCGGGGCUGCCAGAGAAGUCAAAAAGGUUCGCCCUAAGGUUAAAAAGCCCAAGAAGGCAAAGCCCCAUUGCAGCCGAAACCCUGUCCAGGUGAGGAAUUGCCAGGUACUCCCAAUCUGCUAUGUACUCCAGGAAGGCCUUGUACAAAAGAAAAUACUCGGCUGCCAAGACCAAGGUUGAGAAGAAGAAAAAGGAGAAGGGCCUUGAUACUGUCACCAAAACAGUUGGUGUGGACAAGAACGGUGGCACCAGGGUGGUGUAGCUUCCAAAAAUGCCUAGGUAUUAUUCCACCGAAGAUGUGCCUCGGAAGCUGCUGAGCCAUGGCAAGAAGCCCUUCAGCCAGCAUGUGAGAAGGCUAACACUCCAGCAUCACUCCCGGAACUGUCCUGAUCAUCCUCACUGGGCGCCACAGGGGCAAGAGAGUGGUUUUCUUGUAGCAGCUGGACAGUGGCUUGCUGCUUGUGACUGGACCUCUUGUCAUCAACAGAGUUCCUCUGAGCAGAACACACCAGAAGUUUGUCAUUGCCACCUCUACAAAAGUUGAUAUCAGCGAUGUGAAAAUUCCCAAACACCUGACUGACACUUACUUCAAGAAGAAGCAGCUGUGCAAGCCCAGGCAUCAGGAGUGCGAGAUCUUCUACACGGAGAAGGACAAAUACGAGAUUACAGAGCAGCGAAUGGUUGAUCAGAAAACUGUGGGCUCGCAGAUUUUGCCAAAGAUUAAAGCUGUUCCUCAGCUCCAGGGCUACCUGCGCUCUCAGUUCUCCCUGACAAACGGAAUGUAUCCUCACAAACUGGUCUUCUAA
rnacentral:lncRNA from 1 species